UUGUUGUUUGUGUUGUUUUCUAACAAAUCAGAAAUGGUGAAAACGGCAGUAGGAUGUACUUCUAAUCUAAUUGGUUACAAAGGAAUCAAACUCUAUCCCGCCACCCCACCUUCAUUACAUAGUAGGCUUAGUUAUAACUGGUUAGUUACAUAUUGUGCUCUUAUUGUUCUUGCCACCACACCAGUAAUUAUUUGCUCAUUAAAUUCAAAAGUUAUGGCGGAACAAAGUUCGCUUUUGCACUUCUUUAAAAAGCUACAAAUGGAGGAUGAAGAAGAAAAAACACCAAGAUCGCAUUCGAGCCCAAUCCCUCGGAUACCUGAUAAGCCGAUUAGGAGGAUAGCAAGUCAGACCUCGAGGAAGUUAGCAAUAGCACUUCAGGCCCAACCUUUAAGGACUCGGGAGCUAGCAGAUCAGCAGCCAAGGAGGAGCUUAGUGUUAGUGUUCCUACUGCAUCGAUUUCAACAACAGCCCAGAAUAACCAUCACUCUGCACCACCUGCGGAUUUGUCUGCAGUAGAGGAACCGCCAACACAACCAAAAUUAUGACCAGCGAAAAGGAUGAAAGAGCAAGGUAUAACCUUAUUUCCCGGCAUGUAUUUGCCUUCGCAAGACCUUCUGCAUCACCAACAUUGUCCUAGAAUGUCCCACAUGCAAAGAAACGCAGCGCUAUGCAGACAGACUGAACACUGGUCAAGGCAUGGCUACGAUACUCAUCAGGGAAGCCCAGUGGAGAACUUCUGUCUCUGAAGACCCUUGGAGAACUGGUAAUGUAUGUGCCAUUUUAAAGAAAACAUACGUGAGCAGGCAAAACACAUUUCUCUUAUUUCUUAUGGGAUUCAUAGUCAACUGUAGGAUUUAACAGAAUUACACAAUCAUAAAACAAAACAUGGCAACAAAGAACAAAAUGAAAU